AGUAAAAGUUUGCAACAUUUGGCCCGACUACAAUCUCUCUCCUUUGAAACCCUAGACGGCGAUUUGGGAGGCGAUGAAAACGCGAUAUUGACUGUAAGAGCAGUAGCUCGAGAUCUGCCUCUGCAAGGCAAGAGGCAAAUUCAAAGGAAGCUGAUAAAGUCUCAGACCAACUCAAGUCCACUUCAAUCUCUGAGGGCAAAGCCCCUUCUGCUGCUUUACUGAACUGGAGUUUGAUAUCUCUUGUUGAGUUGGUAGCUUUUCUUCUCAUUAGAUUCACAGCACCAAAAAGAGCCUGAUGACAUAUUUGAUGGUAAUGAUCCUCCUCAAAGUGAUGGUGAAGAUGAUGAGAUUGUUGAGCAUGUGCCUUCGGCUCAGCUUCGAGAAAUGGAUCAAUUGCGUAAUACUAUUGCUGAUCAGAUUUGGAAUUCUCUUCAGCACUCUUGAUCCUUCUGAAGG